GUUUCCUACGGGACGCAGCAGUAGGGAAUUUUCGUCAAUGGGGGGAACCCUGAACGAGCAAUGCCGCGUGAGUGAAGAAGGUUUUCGGAUCGUAAAGCUCUGUUGUAAGAGAAAAAGGGUGAUAACAGGAAAUGGUUAACACUUGAUGGUAUCUUACGAGGAAGCCACGGCUAACUACGUGCCAGCAGCCGCGGUAAUACGUUGGUGUCGAGCGUUAUCCGUAAUGAUUGGGCGU
rnacentral:rRNA from 1 species